GAAGGAAGAUCUCUGCAACUUCACUAUCCUCAGUAACAAUGCAGUCAGUAUGUGCACUUCCAUAUUGGUGUAUAUGGUCAAUUGCCGCAUGUACAUCAUCAACAAUCUCAACAGUGCAAGCUGUUGAGCUAUACUCAUGAUGAAAUGAUUGUGCCAGUGGAAUAUCUAAUUCUUCGCUGGCUCGAGGUCCGCCAAAAAGUGUAACUCCUUCGCCUUUGAGUUCUACAAUUAAAUCA
rnacentral:misc_RNA from 1 species